AUACUUUCUUAGGCAGCACAUCUACUAAAACUGGAACUAUACAGACAUUAACAUGGCUCCUGUGCAGGGAUGAGACACAAAUUCAUGAAGUGGUCCAUAUUUUG